rnacentral:rRNA from 1 species
AAUCAACGCUGGCGGCGUGCCUCAGACAUGCAAGUCGAACGCGAAAGGUUCCUUCGGGGACCGAGUAGAGUGGCGCACGGGUGAGUAACACGUAGGUAAUUUGCCUUUGGGUGGGGAAUAACUCAGGGAAACUUGAGCUAAUACCGCAUAAUGCAGCGGCUCGACAUCGAGACAGUUGUUAAAGCGGGGGAUUCGCAAGAACCUCGCGCCUAAAGAGAAGCCUGCGGCAGAUUAGCUAGUUGGUAAGGUAAUGGCUUACCAAGGCGACGAUCUGUAACCGGCCUGAGAGGGCGGUCGGUCACACUGACACUGACAUACGGGUCAGACUCCUACGGGAGGCAGCAGUCGGGAAUUUUGGGCAAUGGGCGAAAGCCUGACCCAGCAACGCCGCGUGAAGGAUGAAAUUUUCGGAAUGUAAACUUCGCAAGAACAGGAAGAAU